CACACCCAUGGCUCAGACAAGUGUGAACAGAGACAGCUGAGAAUGCUAACGGUCACGCUUGCCAAGAUGCUCUGCGAUAACUGUGAUAAUGUGGAGAGUGAGCAGCGGUCCGUCUUUGACCUUCCUGACCCCUUCCUGAACCCUCGUGUGUCCCACCUUGACCUGCCGGGGAUCAACCCGGAGCUGUGGAAGGAGCGCGUGUCAUGUGGGGUCGGCAAGACUGAUAUUGACAUCGGGGCAGCCGAGCGCAUAUCACCCUGUGUCAUGUGCACCUGUACCAAG